rnacentral:tRNA from 1 species
GCUCCCGUAGUGUAGUCCGGAUUAAGGAAAUCCACAACAUGUGGUUGUUCUUUAAGGAUAACCAAUCAUUUCGGAUUUUCGAUCCGAAGACCUGGGUUCAAAACAAUCAACGGCUAAAAAUAACAAAUAAAUUCAAUCAAACACGAGAGCGACUUUUAUAUUCACAGCAUGAAGAAAGUGAACCGCUUUUGAUGUUGACUGGAAUUAAAAAUUGCCAAAAUGCCGUUGUUGCUGAAAGUCCCGGCGGGAGCA